UGGGAACUACGCACGCACACAAGACACAACACUCCGUUUUCAUUAACCCCGCCGAAUGUAUAAACGGCAAGACGUUUUCACUAGAAGGAAACUGCAAAGACAAGUCAGCAUGGACCCGAUCGAGUCCAUGCAUGUACCUAGCCCAAGAGCCACGUCUCUCAAAUCAACGUUCCAACUUCUACUCCGUAUUUAUAAAACGUCUCCACUGAAACCCUAAAUUUAUAGAGAUCUUUUAAUUCUAAAGCCAACAAACAAAAGUAGUUCUCUUUCGAUUUCAAUCUUUUUAUUUGAAGUAUGACUGUAUGAGCAUGUAAGUAGAUAUGAUUCUUGGUGAUGCGUCUGCUGCAACGGAGGCGAAUCGCAGUUAUGCGGCGUUUCAGUUGAGUCUUGAGUGUGCAAAGAAUGAAUACCUGACCGAUAGGGACCAGAGAGCGACCUAUUACUGCCGGAAGUAACUGAUGCUCUGCAACAAGCUGUUCGUGCAAUGGGUCGUACGGUGCGAACGAUAAGUUUCCCGUCAGCUGCCGCAAGAAACGGUUUAAUCGUCCCACAAAAGGUGGUAGAACCAAAAAAGUCAGUGGCCCUCUUCGGUUACUUAGUGAUCAUGCUUUACAAGAAUGACACUGAAGUCAGCU